AAGUAGGGGAUCGCAAGACCUUGCGCUUUUGGAGCGGCCGAUGCCUGAUUAGCUAGUUGGUGGGGUAAUGGCCUACCAAGGCGACGAUCAGUAGUUGGUCUGAGAGGACGACCAGCCACACUGGGACUGAGACACGGCCCAGACUCCUACGGGAGGCAGCAGUGGGGAAUUUUGGACAAUGGGCGAAAGCCUGAUCCAGCAAUGCCGCGUGAGUGAAGAAGGCCUUCGGGUUGUAAAGCUCUUUCAGUCGAGAAGAAAAGGUUGUGACUAAUAAUCACAACUCAUGACGGUAUCGACAGAAGAAGCACCGGCUAACUACGUGCCAGCAGCCGCGGUAAUACGUAGGGUGCGAGCGUUAAUCGGAAUUACUGGGCGUAAAGGGUGCGCAGGCGGCUUUGUAAGUCAGAUGUGAAAUCCCCGGGCUUAACCUGGGAAUUGCGUUUGAAACUACAAAGCUAGAGU
rnacentral:rRNA from 1 species